AUGGGUAGGAAACGCAAAAUACCAAAAAAAUUAGUUGUACCUACUGAACCAGUGGUUGAAGAACCACUCAAAGUCUAUCACACUGCUGAAGCUUAUUACUUGGAUCAUCUUCGAUCCAUAUGUGCUCAUGCUAAAACCCCUACUAGCUUAGUUGAGGGCAAAUCUUUAGAUGAGCAUGCUUGUUAUGUGCGACACCGAAUAUGUGAAAAAGGGGAAAUUUUACUGGGUCAAAUUCAUCGUUUGCAAUGCUAUGCUUGGAAUGUAUGUGAAAUAUAUGAUUUUACUUUUGGUUCUGAAAACCCUAAGAAACACCUUCCCUAUCAAUGUGAGUUUAGUGAUAAUGGAAUCGUAUCUUCGUAUGCUAAGGGUGUUUAUAGUUACUAUGAUGUUCAACAAAUUGAAUAA
rnacentral:rRNA from 1 species